CAGCGCCUCUGGAGGCCCCACAGCAGGAACUUUCCUGGCAGGGGCUGCACUUUGGCUCUCCCUCGGCCUCCCUGGCCAGGCUGGCAGGGGCUGCAGUUCAGAAAAGAGGUGAAAGAACGAUUCCCCAGGUGAUCUUGAUGCUGAAUGUCUCCCUAGGAGAUCUGGGCAUGGAGAGGAACAAGCCCCUUGCAGGCUGACCCAUUUUGGACAACCUGCUCCUCACCCCAGCCUCACCAUGUCUGACAUGGCCCACCUGGGACUGACAUCCCAAAACAUAAAAAAGUAUGCAUUUUAAAAAUAAAUAAGAUUGAUUAAUUUAUAAAAUUAUAAUUAUAGUUUUUUUAAUUUAUAUUAGUAUUACUGUAUAUUUCUAUUACCUUUGAUAUUUAUGUGAAAAAUUGAAUACAUUUUUAGCAGUCAAAAAAUUAUUUGUCAUUGGUUUUAAAUAAAACAAUUCCUUUCAUUAAAUCAUUGACCACUACUGGCCAUUUAUUUCUCCUUCUUAAUGCUAAUUAGUGCUAUUUUUAGAUCUUUUGACAUAUUUUUUUAUUAUUUUCAUGGACAGGGUAAAAGGGGCCACUUUGGGGUCCCUGGAGACAUUUCUGGGGCACAUUUGGGGCAGUUUUGGGUCUGGGCAGUAUGAUAAACAAGUCCACUGAAUUUAAGGAUCAAAUAAUUAUCUUUAUUAUUUUGCAAGCAAGAAUAAGCAAGGACAGCUCUGGGCGGCCCGGAGUCUCCGCUCCACUUUGGCUCACAAAAUCCUAUCCCCUGAGUCCACCCUUUAUUGCCUUCUUCUCCGGGUUUAGGGAUGACGUGAUCUGUCUUCUGCACUUGCUCGUUCAGUUGCUCGGGGGUCUUUUUCUGCCUUCUGGUGGUCGUGGGAUGAAGGCUUAGUCCCCCUUAGUCUUCCUCUUUGUGAAUGCUGAGUGAACUUAUGCCUUAUAAGGCAUAUCUAUACAGAACACUAUACACUUUCUGCAAGCUAAGCAAUUCUUACUAGUACUAUACACUUUCUGCAAGCUCAGAAAUUCUAGCGAGUUUAAGGAUUGCUAUUACAGCUGCUUCUCAUUACUUUCCUUUCACAAGGCAUAACUUUACAAUGGAAUUCCCAAAGCACUAUAGUAAACCAGCAACCAUAUGUAUCUGCACGAGAAGUUUUUUGGCUAUUUAACUAUUGUUUUAUAUUGUAUAGUUAUUUAGCUAUUGAUUUAAUUAAUGAACAAACGUAUUACUACUUAUUACAAAUCCCCCAUUUCUUUUUUUACCAAUUUUGUUCAUUAAAUCUUUCUAGUUCUUUCUUAGCAAGCAUUAAAUGAGCUGCCUCAUCAGUUAAGCUAUGUGCACUAAUUAUAGGUACUAACUUCCUUAGUUUCUUCAUCAUAUUCCAAUUCAUAAUGAAUGGAACUGCUGACAAAAUAAAACCAAGCACAGUCAAUAUCAACAGAACAACAAUGGGAUGGCAUAUACUGUUUAGGACCCCUGCGGCAUUAGGAGACCAACCGAAAAGGGUAUCCCACUGGAUGUCACUCUGGAAAUGCCAGUGGCUCUGGAAAUGCCAGCUGAGAGCUCUGGCAGUGACUGACACUGCACUGAGAGGGGCCACAGUCCUGCAAGGGGCUUUCAUCAGGAGCAAAGAGCAGCCUGGAGGGUGGGCAAUGCUGGAUCUGUACCACUGCGUGCUCAUCCUUCACCUGAAUGUGGAGCUGCCCCCAAAGUUGCCAUGGAUCACUUUUUCUUUUUCUCCUCUUGGGUAUAUUUUGGAGCAGCUGUUCUAUGUGGCUUUUAAUGGUGAUCCUGUGGCAAGCAGCCAUUUGCCUGCUGUGCUAUCCUCACAACUAAUACUAACUCCUCAUUCCCUGUAGUUUUAUUUGGGGUUUUUGAUCUAUUUGUUGGACUGGUUUGCGUGGGUUUGUUUGUUUGUAUGGGUUUUUGUCUGAUUUGGUUUGAGGAUUUUGUUUGCUUUUUUAUAAAUGACUGGUGAAGUUUUCCAAACUCAAGAAAAUGUAAAGCAGGCUCGACUUUGCAGAAAUUACUUUGGGCUGGGUUUAGCUGCAUCCCCCAGGCUCAGGAUCACUAGUAUAUUUUCAGGUUUUGCUCUGCAUAUCAGCCUGCCCACUCUCCGCUUGGUGUUUCACAAAUGGAGAAGACAAUGGACAUUGUGCCAAGCUUCCUUUCAAACAGAAAAACCUGGGUCAGCAUGACAGAAAAGAAGAAACAAAAAAUCA